rnacentral:rRNA from 1 species
CCUACGGGAGGCACCAGUGGGGAAUAUUGCACAAUGGGCGCAAGCCUGAUGCAGCCAUGCCGCGUGUAUGAAGAAGGCCUUCGGGUUGUAAAGUACUCUCAGCGGGGAGGAAGGCGAUAAGGUUAAUAACCUUGUCGAUUGACGUUACCCGCAGAAGAAGCACCGGCUAACUCCGUGCCAGCAGCCGCGGUAAUACGGAGGGUGCAAGCGUUAAUCGGAAUUACUGGGCGUAAAGCGCACGCAGGCGGUCUGUCAAGUUGGAUGUGGAAUCCCCGGGCUCAACCUGGGAACUGCGUUCGAAACUGGCAGGCUGGAGUCUUGUAGAGGGGGGUAGAAUUCCAGGUGUAGCGGUGAAAUGCGUAGAGAUCUGGAGGAAUACCGGUGGCGAAGGCGGCCCCCUGGACAAAGACUGACGCUCAGGUGCGAAAGCGUGGGGAGCAAACAGGAUUAGAUACCCCAGUAGUC